UCGGGGCGGGCGCCGGGCUGCUGGCGGGCGCGGCGCUGGCGGUGACGCCGGUCGCGGCGCUGAUGUUCCGGUUCAACAACCCCGAU
rnacentral:tRNA from 1 species